GAUGAAUGCUGGCGGCGUGCCUAACACAUGCAAGUCGAGCGGCAGCGCGGAGAGUUUACUCUCUGGCGGCGGGCGGCGGACGGCUGAGUAACGCGUGGGAACGUGCCCCAAAGUGAGAAAUAACUGCCCGAAAGGGUGGCUAAUGCCGCAUAUGAUCUUCGGAUUAAAGGAUUUAUCCGCUUUGGGAGCGGCCCGCGUCGGAUUAGGUUGUUGGUGAGGUACUGGCUCACCAAGCCGACGAUCCGUAGCUGGUCUGAGAGGAAGAUCAGCCAGACUGGGACUGAGACACGGCCCAGACUCCUACGGGAGGUAGCAGUGAGGAAUCUUCCACAAUGGGCGAAAGCCUGAUGGAGCAACGCCGCGUGCAGGAUGAAGGCCUUCGGGUUGUAGACUGCUUUUAUAAGUGAAGAAUAUGACGGUAACUUAUGAAUAAGCACCGGCUAACUACGUGCCAGCCGCCGCGGUAA
rnacentral:rRNA from 1 species